CUACGGGAUGCACCAGUGAGGAAUAUUGCACAAUGGGGGGAUCCCUGAUGCAGCAACGCCGCGUGGAGGAUGACGCAUUUCGGUGUGUAAACUCCUUUUAUAUGUCAAGAAAAUGACGGUAGCAUAUGAAUAAGCACCGGCUAACUCCGUGCCAGCAGCCGCGGUAAUACGGAGGGGCAAGCGUUACUCGGAAUCACUGGGCGUAAAGGACGCGUAGGCGGGCUUGUAAGUCAGGUGUGAAAUCCUACAGCUUAACUGUAGAACUGCACUUGAAACUACGAGCCUAGAGUAUGGGAGGGGGAGAUGGAAUUAGUGGUGUAGGGGUAAAAUCCGUAGAUAUCACUAGGAAUACCUAAAGCGAAGGCGAUCUCCUGGAACAUAACUGACGCUAAGGCGUGAAAGCGUGGGGAGCAAACAGGAUUAGAUACCCUCGUAGUC
rnacentral:rRNA from 1 species